AUUGAAGGUUCAUAUCUUGAAGAUGGCAACAUUUGAAAUGGUUCUGGAAAACUAUUUGAAUCUGAUUAACCAACAGUAGUUGCAGAGACAUUGUUUCUCUAUAUCAUGGUCAAUAAUUCUUCUAGAUGCAAUGGAUUGUGCCUUGGAGCUGAUUAAAAGGAAGAGAAAACAUUCAUUUUGACAUGGGAAACAGUAAAUUACGCUACGCAUCAGCAGCAGCAGGAAUCCGAGAGGGUAUAGAUUUGUUGAAUGUUUUGAGGAAUGUGAAAUUUUGAUACUCUUUUCAACAUGAUCGCAAAGUGUAAGCCUUAAAGCUUCCAUUACUCAGGAGGAGUGAGGCCUAUUCUCAAGACAAGUCAUCAAGGA
rnacentral:lncRNA from 1 species